AGAGGAUGGAGCUCUCACUGGCUCCUAGGGACUGAGUUUUGCUUUGGGGGGUGGGGAUGGGAUCCCCUUGGGAAGGCCGCGCCUCUGCUUUCUCAGCUGUCUUGUGUCCAGGCCUUGUAGAACUGUGUCUCUCUAACGCAUUUCCUCCUUUCCCUCCUCCAGCCUCCACCUCAGUUCAGAGUGAUCCCUUAUUUGCCUGAAAUUUGGGAACAGUCUCACUACCUGGCAUCAGGCCACUAUGCAUACAACCUUGGAGGGGGAGCGACUAACAUCUACUGCACACCUGCCGAGGCCUUUUGUGUAUUUUAUCACACUCACCCUGGCAGCAAUGCAUGAGUUCACAGGCAAGGAACAGAAUGUUUCGCCCAAGGAUGAUUCCGCCCCUGUGGAGCCAACCCACGGCCAUGGCCUUCUGAGCAGGGGCAUUAACUGAGCCAAAUGUGCAGGAAAAGAACUAAUGAGGUGCAGGGCCUGGAGGGCCCAGCCCCCGUGUUUAGGAUUAAGAGCAUCCGUGAGAGCCGCCUGCACCUCCCGGUCCCUGGAUCCGCUUGGAGCGCAG
rnacentral:lncRNA from 1 species